rnacentral:rRNA from 1 species
UCCGGUUGAUCCUGGCAGAGGUUACAGCUAUCGAGGUUCGACUAAGCCAUGCGAGUCGAGUGUAGCAAUACAUGGCGAACUGCUCAGUAACACGUGGACAACCUGCCCUUAGGUUGGGUAUAAACCCGGGAAACUGGGUAUAAUACCUGAUAGGUCUCGAUUGCUGGAAUGCAUCGAGAUUUAAAGCUCCGGCGCCUAAGGAUGGGUCUGCGGCCUAUCAGGUAGUAGUGGGUGUAGCGUACCUACUAGCCUACGACGGGUACGGGUUGUGAGAGCAAGAGCCCGGAGAUGGAUUCUGAGACACGAAUCCAGGCCCUACGGGGUGCAGCAGGCGCGAAAACUUUACAAUGCUGGAAACAGGGAUAAGGGGACCUCGAGUGCCAGGUUACAAAUCUGGCUGUCGUGAUGCCUAAAAAGCAUUGCAUAGCAAGGGCCGGGCAAGACCGGUGCCAGCCGCCGCGGUAACACCGGCGGCUCGAGUGGUAACCGCUAUUAUUGGGUCUGAAGGGUCUGUAGCCGGCCGGAUAAGUCUUUUGGGAGAUCUGGCAGCUUAACUGUCAGGCUUUCAGAGGAUACUGUCUGGCUCGAGGCCGGGAGAGGUGAGAGGUACUUCAGGGGUAGGGGUGAAAUCUUGUAAUCCUUGAAGGACCACCAGUGGCGAAGGCGUCUCACCAGAACGGACCUGACGGCAAGGGAC